CUCACAAAGCCUAGUGCACAUGAUUUGCGUGUGAAUUGUGUAACUAAUACAGAUGUAAUCUUUGAAGUGUCUGCCUUCUCUGCUUUCACAAAUACGUGCUAAAAUGAGGAGUGCAUCUGCUGAUCUGUUAAGUACUUGAUGUCAACAUUACUGAGUGUAGUUUCUGUUCACAGUCCCUGUAGUGCUGCUUCAGAAAGUGGGUCUUUCAAGUUAUCAAGUACCCUUGCUGCAUCAAAGCCCGUCUCUCCUAUCUCUCCAUUCUUCUGUGCAGACUUCUGAAGGCUGAAAGUUGUUGAAGCUGAAUUAUUUUCAUUAUGUCUCUUGAUUAAAAUCCAGGGAGUGAUUGUUGUAUGGGACUGUUUUCUCUGGUUUGGGGUUGGAUUUGUUUGUGCAGUGCUGGAACUACUAGUUUACCUGCUUUUUUACCUAAGUUGAAGACUGUUGUCCCUCUUUUAACCCAAGCUUGUUAUCCUAGUGAGGUUCUGAGGAAAAUAAAUGGAUUGAGUAAAUAUUAAA